GCCCGGUUAGCUCAAUCGGUAGAGCGUGAGACUCUUAAUCUCAAGGUUGCGGGUGAGUAAAUGGCGCUACCUAGUA